CUACGGACUUAAUUGGAUUGAGCCUUGGUAUGGAAACUUACUAAGUGAUAACUUUCAAAUUCAGAGAAACCCUGGAAUUAAUAAAAAUGGGCAAUCCUGAGCCAAAUCACGUUUUCCGAAAACAAACAAAGGUUCAGAAAGCGAAAAUAAAAAAGGAUAGGUGCAGAGACUCGAUGGAAGCUGUUCUAACGAAUGGAGUUGAUUGUCUUACAUUGGUAGAGGAAUCCUUCUAUCGAAACUUCAGAAAAGAGGAAGGAUAAACCUGUAUACAUAGAAGAAUUGGUAUGAAUCGAUUCCAUAUUGAAGAAAGAAUCAAAUAUUCAUUGAUCAAAGCAUUCACGCAUAAUCUGAUAGAUCUUUUGAAUAACUGAUGAAAUCGGACGAGAAUAAAGAUAGAGUCCCGUUCUACAUGUCAAUACCGGCAACAAUGAAAUUUAUAGUAAGAGGAAAAUCCGUCGAUUUCAAAAAUCAUGAGGGUUCAAGUCCCUCUAUCCCCAAUUUGCCGCCCUAAUUAUUUCUCGUAUCCUUUUUAUUUAUUUUAUCCUUUUUUCGUUAGCGGUUUAAAAGUACUUAUCUUUCUCAUUCACUACUCUUUAUACAAAUGGAUCUGAGCGGAAAUGUAUCACAUGUCACAUGUGACAUAUAUGAUACAUGUACAAAUGAACAUCUUUGAGCAAGGAAUCCCCAUUUGAAUGAUUCACGAUCGAUAUUUUAAUUCAUAUUGAAACUUAAAAAGUUGUUCUUUUGGUAAAUUCUAGGACCUGGCUGAGGCUUUGUAAUACCCGUUCAAUUGACAUAUACCCACGUUCUCUAGUAAAAUGAAAAUGAGGAUGAGACAUCAGGAAUAGUCGGGAUAGCUCAGUUGGUAGAGCAGAGGACUGAAAAUCCUCGUGUCACCAGUUCAAAUCUGGUUCCUGACA
rnacentral:lncRNA from 1 species